CUCCGCCGCUGUCAUUGAAGAGCAUUUACUCAGUGAGUGCAAGAGGUUUGUUUGAAACAGACCGCAAUGGAGAGAUCAGCGCCCAGGGAAGCGAGGGAACAGCAGGCUCCUUCCAGCAGCACAUCGGGAUGGGAGCCUGUGAUACAGAAGGGGCUCCGAGACCGGGAUUGAUUCGGGGCAAAUGAUUGAUGGACCAAGACAAUGUAAUAUUUCCUCAGAACAAAGCCAAGUGUGACCAGUGCUUUUAACAACCAGCAGACAAUUACAUGAAGGAGCAAGACAAUCUAACAUUAUCUUGGUAUGAAGCCAAGUGUGAUCAGUUCCUUCUAACAAACAGCAGGGAAUUGGAAGAUGAUUUGCAAUGAGGAGACUUAAAACCAGGCAUCACUGACCAAGCUGCCGAGUUUAUUGCCACUUGAAUAUCAUUGGGUAAAAAGCACCGUUCACAGUGGGGGAGAAACCGUACGUGUGUUGUACAUGUGGACAAGUCUGCAGUAGAUCACUGCCUGUUACGAGAUAAAUACAGCCACACUGGGGAAAGGCCAUUCAUCUGUUCCAAGGGUAGGAAAGGAUUCACUCGAUCAUCCACCUUGCUGAAACUUGAGCAAGUUCACACAGAGAACAGACCUUUGAAAUGCUCAGAAUGUGGGAGAUGUUUUAAAAACUCUGGGGCACUGAUAUCCCAACAACAUCCUCACAGUGACGAGAGACCCUUCAUGUGCUCUCACUGUGGGUGUGGGUUCAAGACAUCAUCCAACCUCAUUAAAAACCAGCGAAUCCACAGUGGGGAGAGACCAUUCACCAGCUCUCACGACAGUAAAGGAUUUUCUCAUAAAUCCAACCUGUUAAAACACCAGCGAUCUCUCGGAAGGUAGAGUCUGUUCUGCUGUACUGACUGUGGGAAGAGAAUCAUUGUGAAAUCCAAGCUGCUGAAACACCAGUGUAUUUCAUAAGAAAUUACAGUGCCUGGUGUGAACAUCUCCCUGCUUCAUAGUCUCAGCCAGAAGAUUUUGUUUCAAUUCCCACCUGAUAUGGAGCUACGUUGAAGAACUUAAUAAUGUUUGUAAUUGAUAACUGAAUGAUAUCCACUGGGGCAGGUUUCUACUGAAGUUAAUGAACUCCAGCUCAGUGAAAGGGAUGACUGUUCUGGAUGACAGUGAAAUAAAUGCACUGUGUGUUAAACACACUGUAUAAAA